AGAGUUUGAUCCUGGCUCAGGACGAACGCUGGCGGCGUGCCUAACACAUGCAAGUCGAACGGAGAAUUUUAUUUCGGUAGAAUUCUUAGUGGCGAACGGGUGAGUAACGCGUAGGCAACCUGCCCUUUAGACGGGGACAACAUUCCGAAAGGAGUGCUAAUACCGGAUGUGAUCAUCGUGCCGCAUGGCAGGAUGAAGAAAGAUGGCCUCUACAAGUAAGCUAUCGCUAAAGGAUGGGCCUGCGUCUGAUUAGCUAGUUGGUAGUGUAACGGACUACCAAGGCGAUGAUCAGUAGCCGGUCUGAGAGGAUGAACGGCCACAUUGGGACUGAGACACGGCCCAAACUCCUACGGGAGGCAGCAGUGGGGAAUCUUCCGCAAUGGACGAAAGUCUGACGGAGCAACGCCGCGUGAGUGAUGAAGGAUUUCGGUCUGUAAAGCUCUGUUGUUUAUGACGAACGUGCAGUGUGUGAACAAUGCAUUGCAAUGACGGUAGUAAACGAGGAAGCCACGGCUAACUACGUGCCAGCAGCCGCGGUAAUACGUAGGUGGCGAGCGUUGUCCGGAAUUAUUGGGCGUAAAGAGCAUGUAGGCGGCUUAAUAAGUCGAGCGUGAAAAUGCGGGGCUCAACCCCGUAUGGCGCUGGAAACUGUUAGGCUUGAGUGCAGGAGAGGAAAGGGGAAUUCCCAGUGUAGCGGUGAAAUGCGUAGAUAUUGGGAGGAACACCAGUGGCGAAGGCGCCUUUCUGGACUGUGUCUGACGCUGAGAUGCGAAAGCCAGGGUAGCGAACGGGAUUAGAUACCCCGGUAGUCCUGGCCGUAAACGAUGGGUACUAGGUGUAGGAGGUAUCGACCCCUUCUGUGCCGGAGUUAACGCAAUAAGUACCCCGCCUGGGGAGUACGGCCGCAAGGUUGAAACUCAAAGGAAUUGACGGGGGCCCGCACAAGCGGUGGAGUAUGUGGUUUAAUUCGACGCAACGCGAAGAACCU
rnacentral:rRNA from 1 species